rnacentral:rRNA from 1 species
UACGGGGGGGGUAAGCGUUGUUCGGAAUUACUGGGCGUAAAGGGCUCGUAGGCGGCCAACUAAGUCAUACGUGAAAUCCCUCAGCUUAACUGGGGAACUGCGUGUGAUACUGGAUGGCUUGGAUUUGGGAGAGGGAUGCGGAAUUCCAGGUGUAGCGGUGAAAUGCGUAGAUAUCUGGAGGAACACCGGUGGCGAAGGCGGCAUCCUGGACCAAUAUUGACGCUGAGGAGCGAAAGCCAGGGGAGCAAACUGG